CUGUACGGCUCCUGCAUUGUACACACUGUGCGUAUCUGUUAUGUAAGCACAGCGCAUACAAUGUGGAUGCCGUGUCA
rnacentral:pre_miRNA from 1 species